UUGGACUUAUAAGCCGGUUGAAAAGCUGAAACGGCUGAUUUGUUAUGAGAGAAAAAUACUGUUCGGUGGCUGAUAAGCUGGCUGAUAAGCUGAAGCGAACAGAGAUUUGGUUGAUGUCGUUCUAUUUUUUCUGUCACAUUUUCUUGUGGUCUUCAUUAGAAAAUUUAUUGAUUUUCUCUCACUCAAUUUUUAUCAACUAGCAAAUGAUACAUGGCUUGAUUCUGCUGGUUGAUUGGCAGUUUACUCGGUGGAAGUUACCCAUCCGGAUUCAAGUCCUAGCUAGACCAUAUGUUUGUGGAGAGUAAGAUAACUACGGUGAUUUUAUCAAUAUCGAGAUAUAUCGGUUAGUGUUUUUCAGAUUUGCUCUUAGAGAUAGGAUUUGUAUGUGUGUAUUUAUACGGUGAAUCUGCGUAUGUGUACGUGGAGCACAUGUGUCGUGCUGUGAUUCAUAAAAGAAAAUUCUUCUUUUCUAUUUUUUUUACACAAAUUAGUGCACUUAGCUGGUUUGCACUUGUACAAGUUGUCUUCUGGUUUUUUUUUAUUGUUGCAUCUUCUUGUUUCAAUCGAUUUUUUCUUAUGACGCUCACAUCAUAUUUUGACUUUUUUUCCUAUCCGCAUCAAUCGUUUCCUGGCCCCUAAUCAUUGUCACGUGGCACGUUCGGGAUGGUGAAAGAAAUGGAUUUACACAACAAAAAGAAAAACAGCCGAAUGUUACGUAGUCAUUCCCUUUUUCGAAACAAUUAUUUUAUUCCUUUUUCCCCUUUAUAAGCAACUAGAUUUGUAUGGGCUGGCGCCAUGGGUCCAUUGCACAGAAAGGCCUACUGCAGUCGGCCCGUCGCUUCAAAGCCACAGUACUCGCGUCGCUUCUAAAGCUCACAAUACUCGAGCUGUUUGUUGACACGUCGAUCUGCCGAUGACCGAUGUCAUGUCGCCGUGCAAAACAGAGCGAGGCUUUUUUAGUUGCUAAAAUUGGGAGUGACAAAAUUACUGUGCUGGU
rnacentral:lncRNA from 1 species